rnacentral:lncRNA from 1 species
UUUAUGUUCUCAAACUACCACUCAAGGUCAAAAGUCACAAAAAUAGCACUUAGUGUUUUAUCAAAAGACACAAACUUAGGGUUUAGAGUUAAAGGGUGGGGUUUAGGAUUUAGGGUUUAUGGUUUAGGGUUUAGAGUUUAGGGUUUAGGGUUUAGAUUUUAGGGUUUAGGAUUUAGGGUUUAGGGUUUAGGGUUUAGAGUUUAGGGUUUAGGGUUUAGAGUUUAGGGUUUGGGGUUUAUAGUUUAGGGUUUAAGGUUUAGAGUUUAGGGUUUAGAGUUUAGGGUUUAGGGUUUAGAGUUGAGAAAUGAGGUUUUGGGGAUAAGAUUUCAAAUUUUGAAAAAUUAAAAAAUUAAAAUUUUCAAAGGAUAAACUUAGAAAGAUGCUAUUUUGGUCAUUUUAGUUUUUUUGUGCUAUUUUUGUGAUAUAAACUUAUAAAGGUGCUAUUUUGGAGAUUUGCCC